rnacentral:rRNA from 1 species
CUCCUACGGGAGGCAGCAGCCAGGAAUCUUGGGCAAUGGGCGAAAGCCUGACCCAGCAACACCGUGUGGGCGAUGAAGGCCUUCGGGUCGUAAAGCCCUGUUGAUAGGGACGAAGGGCGAAGGGUUAAUAGCCCCUAGCCUGACGGUACCCGUCGAGGAAGCCCCGGCUAACUACGUGCCAGCAGCCGCGGUAAUACGUAGGGGGCGA